GAACCAGUGUUCGAUAAAUUCCGAUUUGGACCACUGCAAACAAGGCCAGUUUGAAAAUCCCCUAAGACAGACAUGUUUUUUGUAGAAUAUUUCUGCAAGGAGUAGUCUUGCGAAGUAAACAGAGAAUUUCACUGUUUCUUUUCACAGUGUAGGUCACAAUGAGGUCAUUGGUGUGUGCCGAGUAGGUAAUGAUGCCGAGGGUUUGGGAAGAGAACACUGGAAUGAAAUGCUGACUUACCCACGCAAACCCAUCGCACACUGGCAUCCUCUCAUCGAGUAUCACAGUUCUGGAGGAGGAAGCCAGGGAGGUUCCUGUAAUUCCCUGAAGACUCCUCCAUCGCCAUAGCCUGAGGUCCAAUUUCUCAUCUUCAGACCAACAAUAAAAGAGAAUUUAUGCACAAGAUGUUCUGUCCUGGAAUCCGGAGAGCUCCAGUAGCCUGUAUCUGACAUCAGAGGCGUGCCAUUUUCUUCUGCCUGUGCACCUGGAAGCCCUUCCACUGCAUGGGAAUACUUGAUUGUUUCAGCUGCAUGUUGAGUGGUCACACACUGUAUGGUUAUUUUGUGCUACUCAUGGUGAAUUGGAAAAGAAAAUUUAGUGGAAAAAUAUGGAAAAGAGUAUUUCUUUGUUCUCAUAGUUUCGAUUCCAAGUAAUUGUUUUCUAAAUCAGUCUCGGUAUGUGUUUUUAAAUGGAGUGUCCGUGUGUCACUCAAUGCUCUUGAGGUUAGAAUGUCAACUUCCCUUUUUAUACCCUCCCACUGCGCAUGAGUGUGUUUUGGUGUGGUAAAGUUCAAGAUGUUCUCUGUUACUUGUUUGAAAUGCUCUGUGGAUUUUGUCAUCAAGCGUCAUGGUGGUGAACUGUUUACAGACUUUGCAAGUAAAAUGUUAUUUCUCAUGUUAUUAAACAUCUUUUUCUUACAAAACUAA